rnacentral:rRNA from 1 species
CCUACGGGAGGCAGCAGUGAGGAAUAUUGGUCAAUGGGCGCGAGCCUGAACCAGCCAAGUAGCGUGAAGGAUGACUGCCCUACGGGUUGUAAACUUCUUUUAUAAAGGAAUAAAGCGAGGCACGUGUGUCCUUUCGGAUGUAUAUUAUGAAUCAGGAACGGCUAACCUCGCGCCAGCAGCCGCGGUAAUACGGAGGAUCCGAGCGUUACCCGGACUUAUUGGGUUUAAAGGGAGCGUGGGUGGGUUGUUAAGGUAGUUGUGAAAGGUUGCGGGUCAACCGUAAAAUUGCAAUGGAUACUGGCAGUCUUGAGUACAGUUGAGGUAGGCGGAAUUCGUGGUGUAGCGGUAAAAUGCUUAGAUAUCACGAAGAACUCCGGUUGCGAAGGCGGCUUACUGGACUGCCACUGACGUUGAUGCUCGAAAGUGUGGGUAUCAAACAGGAUUAGAUACCCCAGUAGUC